UACGGGGGGAGCAAGCGUUGUUCGGAUUUACUGGGCGUAAAGGGCGCGUAGGCGGUAGCACAAGUCAGUUGUGAAAUCUCCGGGCUUAACUCGGAAAGGUCAACUGAUACUGUGCGACUAGAGUGCAGAAGGGGCAACUGGAAUUCUCGGUGUAGCGGUGAAAUGCGUAGAUAUCGAGAGGAACACCUGCGGCGAAAGCGGGUUGCUGGGCUGACACUGACGCUGAGGCGCGAAAGCCAGGGGAGCGAACGGG
rnacentral:rRNA from 1 species